AUUGAACGCUGGCGGCAGGCUUAACACAUGCAAGUCGAGCGGGGGAAGGUAGCUUGCUACCGGACCUAGCGGCGGACGGGUGAGUAAUGCUUAGGAAUCUGCCUAUUAGUGGGGGACAACAUCUCGAAAGGGAUGCUAAUACCGCAUACGUCCUACGGGAGAAAGCAGGGGAUCUUCGGACCUUGCGCUAAUAGAUGAGCCUAAGUCGGAUUAGCUAGUUGGGGGGGGAAAGGCCUACCAAGGCGACGAUCUGUAGCGGGGCUGAGAGGAUGGUCCGCCACACUGGGACUGAGACACGGCCCAGACUCCUACGGGAGGCAACAGUGGGGAAUAUUGGACAAUGGGGGGAACCCUGAUCCAGCCAUGCCGCGUGUGUGAAGAAGGCCUUAUGGUUGUAAAGCACUUUAAGCGAGGAGGAGGCUACUUUAGUUAAUACCUAGAGAUAGUGGACGUUACUCGCAGAAUAAGCACCGGCUAACUCUGUGCCAGCCGCCGCAGUAA
rnacentral:rRNA from 1 species